GAUGAACGCUAGCGGGAGGCCUAACACAUGCAAGCCGAGCGGUAGGGUCUCUUCGGAGACUUGAGAGCGGCGCACGGGUGCGGAACACGUGUGCAACCUGCCUUUAUCUGGGGGAUAGCCUUUCGAAGGGAAGAUUAAUACCCCAUAAUAUACUGGAUGGCAUCAUCUGGUAUUGAAAACUCCGGUGGAUAGAGAUGGGCACGCGCAAGAUUAGAUAGUUGGUGAGGUAACGGCUCACCAAGUCAGCGAUCUUUAGGGGGCCUGAGAGGGUGAUCCCCCACACUGGUACUGGGACACGGACCAGACUCCUACGGGAGGCAGCAGUGAGGAAUAUUGGACAAUGGGUGAGAGCCUGAUCCAGCCAUCCCGCGUGAAGGACGGCGGCCCUAUGGGUUGUAAACUUCUUUUGUAUAGGGAUAAACCUAGAUACGUGUAUCUAGCUGAAGGUACUAUACGAAUAAGCACCGGCUAACUCCGUG
rnacentral:rRNA from 1 species